AAGGCCUAUCGCCUGAAGAUGAGUUCGCGGCUGAUUAGCUCGUUGGUGGGGUAAGGGCCUACCAAGGCAACGAUCAGUAGCCGGCCUGAGAGGGUGAACGGCCACAUUGGGACUGAGACACGGCCCAUACUCCUACGGGAGGCAGCAGUGAGGAAUAUUGGACAAUGGAUGGAAAUCUGAUCCAGCCAUGCCGCGUGCAAGAAGACGGCCUUAUGGGUUGUAAACUGCUUUUAUACGGGAGCAAUAAGGGUUACGAGUAAUCCGAUGAGAGUACUGUAUGAAUAAGGAUCGGCUAACUCCGUGCCAGCAGCCGCGGUAAUACGGAGGAUCCGAGCGUUAUCCGGAAUUAUUGGGUUUAAAGGGUGCGUAGGCGGCCAUUUAAGUCAGCGGUGAAAUUUUGCAGCUUAACUGUAACAGUGCCGUUGAUACUGUUUGGCUAGGAUUUGGUUGUAGUGUGCGGAAUGUGUGGUGUAGCGGUGAAAUGCUUAGAUAUCACACAGAACACCGAUUGCGAAGGCAGCACACUAAGUCAUUAUUGACGCUGAGGCACGAAAGUGUGGGGAUCAAACGGGAUUAGAUACCCUGGUAGUCCACACUGUAAACUAUAUAAGGUCGCUGUCGGGAAUACACAGUCGGUGGCCAAGCGAAAGCAUUAAGUUAUCCACCUGGGGAGUACGACCGCAAGGUUGAAACUCAAAGGAAUUGACGGGGGCCCGCACAAGCGGAGGAACAUGUGGUUUAAUUCGAUGAUACGCGAGGAACCUUACCCGGGCUCGAACGGUGCAUGAAUAUACGAGAGAUUGUAUAGUCCUUCGGGACAUGUAUCGAGGUGCUGCAUGGUUGUCGUCAGCUCGUGCCGUGAGGUGUCGGCUUAAGUGCCAUAACGAGCGCAACCCUUGUCAUUAGUUGCCAUCAGGUCAAGCUGGGGACUUUAAUGAGACUGCCACCGUAAGGUGUGAGGAAGGGGGGGAUGACGUCAAAUCAGCACGGCCCUUAUGUCCGGGGCGACACACGUGUUACAAUGGGAGGUACAGAGGGCAGCUAUCCGGUGACGGAAUGCUAAUCUCCAAAACCUUUCUCAGUUCGGAUUGGAGUCUGCAACUCGACUCCAUGAAGGUGGAUUCGCUAGUAAUCGCGCAUCAGCCAUGGCGCGGUGAAUACGUUCCCGGGCCUUGUACACACCGCCCGUCAAG
rnacentral:rRNA from 1 species